rnacentral:rRNA from 1 species
UAGCUACAGGCUUAACACAUGCAAGUCGAGGGGCAGCAUGGUCUUAGCUUGCUAAGGCCGAUGGCGACCGGCGCACGGGUGAGUAACACGUAUCCAACCUGCCGUCUACUCUUGGACAGCCUUCUGAAAGGAAGAUUAAUACAAGAUGGCAUCAUGAGUCCGCAUGUUCACAUGAUUAAAGGUAUUCCGGUAGACGAUGGGGAUGCGUUCCAUUAGAUAGUAGGCGGGGUAACGGCCCACCUAGUCUUCGAUGGAUAGGGGUUCUGAGAGGAAGGUCCCCCACAUUGGAACUGAGACACGGUCCAAACUCCUACGGGAGGCAGCAGUGAGGAAUAUUGGUCAAUGGGCGAGAGCCUGAACCAGCCAAGUAGCGUGAAGGAUGACUGCCCUAUGGGUUGUAAACUUCUUUUAUAAAGGAAUAAAGUCGGGUAUGCAUACCCGUUUGCAUGUACUUUAUGAAUAAGGAUCGGCUAACUCCGUGCCAGCAGCCGCGGUAAUACGGAGGAUCCGAGCGUUAUCCGGAUUUAUUGGGUUUAAAGGGAGCGUAGAUGGAUGUUUAAGUCAGUUGUGAAAGUUUGCGGCUCAACCGUAAAAUUGCAGUUGAUACUGGAUAUCUUGAGUGCAGUUGAGGCAGGCGGAAUUCGUGGUGUAGCGGUGAAAUGCUUAGAUAUCACGAAGAACUCCGAUUGCGAAGGCAGCCUGCUAAGCUGCAACUGACAUUGAGGCUCGAAAGUGUGGGUAUCAAACAGGAUUAGAUACCCUGGUAGUCCACACGGUAAACGAUGAAUACUCGCUGUUUGCGAUAUACAGCAAGCGGCCAAGCGAAAGCGUUAAGUAUUCCACCUGGGGAGUACGCCGGCAACGGUGAAACUCAAAGGAAUUGACGGGGGCCCGCACAAGCGGAGGAACAUGUGGUUUAAUUCGAUGAUACGCGAGGAACCUUACCCGGGCUUAAAUUGCAGAUGAAUUACGGUGAAAGCCGUAAGCCGCAAGGCAUCUGUGAAGGUGCUGCAUGGUUGUCGUCAGCUCGUGCCGUGAGGUGUCGGCUUAAGUGCCAUAACGAGCGCAACCCUUGUUGUCAGUUACUAACAGGUUCCGCUGAGGACUCUGACAAGACUGCCAUCGUAAGAUGUGAGGAAGGUGGGGAUGACGUCAAAUCAGCACGGCCCUUACGUCCGGGGCUACACACGUGUUACAAUGGGGGGGUACAGAGGGCCGCUACCACGCGAGUGGAUGCCAAUCCCAAAAACCUCUCUCAGUUCGGACUGGAGUCUGCAACCCGACUCCACGAAGCUGGAUUCGCUAGUAAUCGCGCAUCAGCCACGGCGCGGUGAAUACGUUCCCGGGCCUUGUACACACCGCCCGUCAAGCCAUGGGAGCCGGGGGUACCUGAAGUGCGUAACCGCGAGGAGCGCCCUAGGGUAAAACUGGUGACUGGGGCUAAGUCAUAACA